UUUUAGCCCAGAUGGAAGCGGAAUGCUAUUGUGUGCGCCGCGGCGCACGCAAUAGAUACACUGAACAGCUGGAAUAGCU
rnacentral:sRNA from 1 species